rnacentral:rRNA from 1 species
GUGAGGAAUUUUCCGCAAUGGGCGAAAGCCUGACGGAGCAAUGCCGCGUGAAGGAUGAAGGCCUAUGGGUUGUAAACUUCUUUUCUUAGAGAAGAAUAUUGACGGUAUCUGAGGAAUAAGCAUCGGCUAACUCUGUGCCAGCAGCCGCGGUAAGACAGAGGAUGCAAGCGUUAUCCGGAAUGAUUGGGCGUAAAGCGUCUGUAGGUGGCUUCAAAAGUCUCCUGUCAAAGAUCAGGGCUUACUCCUGGGCAUGCAGGAGAAACUCUGAGGCUAGAGUUUGGUAGGGGCAGAGGGAAUUCCCGGUGGAGCGGUGAAAUGCGUAGAGAUCGGGAGGAACACCAAAGGCGAAAGCACUCUGCUGGGCCACAACUGACACUGAGAGACGAAAGCGAGGGGAGCAAAAGGGAUUAGAUACCCGAGUAGUCC